GACGAACGCUGGCGGCGUGCUUAACACAUGCAAGUCGAACGGAAAGGUCCUGCUCUUGUUGCGUGCUCGAGUGGCGAACGGGUGAGUAACACGCGAGUAUCCUGUACUUGUCUUUGGGAUAACUCUUGGAAACUGGGGCUAUUAUCGGAUAGGAGCUCUUGCUCCAUGUUGUUGGUUGGAAAGUUUCGGCGGUUGGGGAUGGUCUCGCGGCUUAUCAGCCUGUUUGUGGGGUAGGUGCUGACCAAGGCUUUGACGGGUAGGCCGCCUGAGAGGGUAACCGGCCACAAUGCGACUGCGGUACGGCCCAGACGCCUACGUGAGGCAGCAGUGGGGAAUAUUGCGCAGUGGGCGGAAGCCUGAUGCAGCAACGCCGCGUGCGGGAUAACGGCUUUCGGGUUAUGAACCACUUUCGCCUGUAACGAGGCGUGCGUGACGGUAAUGAGUAAAAAAGCACCGGCUAACUACGUG
rnacentral:rRNA from 1 species